rnacentral:rRNA from 1 species
GUCUGUGGCCAUACCACCCUGAACGCACAUGAUCUCGUCCGAUCUUGGAAACUAAGCAGGGUCGGGCCUAGUUAGUACUUGGAUGGAAGACAGUGCCUUAAAAAUCAGCAAAUAAUCUGGAAGUCAUUAAUA